CUAGUAAGAUCCCUGAAAGAUGAUCAGGUAGAUAGGUUCGAGGUGGAAGCGUGGCGACACGUGGAGCUGACGAAUACUAAUCGAUCGAGGACUUAACCAA
rnacentral:rRNA from 1 species